CACUCACUCACUCGUACGCCGUCGCUUCCUGCGGUACGCACUCUCUGUCCGCUGCGUUCCUCCAGCUAGCAACUGGCCAUCGGGGCUGCUAUAGCAGAGUAAGUGGCGAUGGCUCCAGCUCAUGAUAGGCUCCGCCGCCUGGUGCUGCUCCUCGUCGUUGCCACCGCGGCGGCGGCUUUGCUUCUGGCGCCGACGACGGCGGAUGCUGCGCUGCCGCGGGUGCAGCACACGCCCACCAAGGCCGACGGGUCGCUCGCCAUCCUCGUCGUCGGCGACUGGGGCCGCCGUGGACAGUUCAACCAGACCUUGGUUGCCCAGCAGAGACCUCGCACGCUCGUCUCCGCCGAAGUCGCAAGUCACGGCAUUUUCAGAUGGGCGUGGUGGGGCAGAAGCUGGACAUCGACUUCGUCAUCUCCACCGGCGACAACAUCUACGACGACGGCAUCGCCAACACCAGCGACCCCCUCUUCAAGGAAUCGUUCUCCAAUAUCUACACUGCCAACAGCCUUCAGAAGCCUUGGUACCUGGUCCUUGGUAACCAUGACUACACGGGAAACGCGCUCGCGCAGCUCGACCCUGCCAUUCGCAAAGUGGAUAGCCGGUACACCGCCAUUGCCAAGUCCUUCAUUGUCAACUCAGGGAUUGCGGAUUUUUUCCUCGUCGACACAACGCCGUUCAUUGUCCACUACUGGAACAACACCAAGUUCGAUUGGAGAGGCGUCGCUCCUCGAGACACCUACAUCGCGAAUCUCCUCAAGGACUUGAAGUGUGCACUGACAGCGUCCAAGGCUCCCUGGAAGAUCGUCGUGGGUCACCACCCCAUCAGCAGCGCCUGCGGGCAUGGGAACAACACUGAGCUGGAGGAGUUGCUUCUCCCGGUCCUCAGGGUAUAUAUAUGCAUGCUGUUCGAUCUAACAUGAAGUUAAUUGUCUUCUCUCAAGUCAUUAACAUGAUCGAUCGAUCUAUAUAUGAAACUGAAUGUUCCUGCUGCUUUGCAACGCAAUUAACACUACUGCGCAUGCAGACACACGGGUAGUGCUGCAACUUGGACCGUGCCGUGCCGGCCCGGCACGAGCCCAUCGUGCUUCGGGCCUCAGUUAGUCGGGCCUAUCUAGCACGAAAUAGAAUCGGGCCGUGCCUUACUGGGCCUCGUGAGUAGAAAUAAGGCCCAGCACGGCCCUAAAGCACGGCGGGCUUCCGUUGGGCCGUGCUGGCCCAGGCACGGCACGCAAUUAAGUUUGUAUCUCGGUCGCCGUGGGGAGAUCAGGAGAUGGCCGCUGGGCUGGCGCCUCGGGAGAUCCGGAGAUGGCGCUUGGGGAGAUGGAUUGGCCGCUGGGCGCCUGUCUGGCCGCUGGCAUGCAUGGCAUCGUGGCCGCAGGACCGCUGGAUGGCCGCUGGGCGUGGGCGCGUGGCCGCUGGCCGCUGGGCGUCACGCCUAAGGAGAUGGCCGCAUGGCGCGUGGCCGCAGGACCGCUGGAGUCUGGACGCCACGCCGGGGAGAUGGCCGCAUGGCGCGUGGCCGCAGGACCGCUGGAGUCUGGACGCCGCGCCUGGGGAGCUGGACGCCGCGCCUGGGGAGAAGACGAAUGGAUGGGCUGGCGGCGGCCGACGCCUGGGGAGUCGAGGAGAGAAUCGGAGACGGGCGGACGUCUGGGGAAACGACUAAACCUAAUUAAAUGGCGGCCGACGCUGGACCGGGAUGUUUUCGUGCCGGGCCAGCACGAGCACGGCCCACAACAACGUGUCGGGCCUGGUAGCACGACGGGCUCAAAUUUAGAGCACGGCCCAGCCCGCGAUUCGUGCCGUGCUAGCCCGAAUUUAAACCAGUCGUGUCGGGCCGGGCCUUUUUCCAUUUUUCACGGGCCGUGCUCGGGCCGGCCCUUUAGGCACGGCCCAAACUUUCAGGACUACACACGGGGUUGACAUGUACUUGAAUGGCCAUGACCACUGCCUGCAGCGCGUCAGCAGCAGAGACAGUCGUCUUCAGCUAUUAACCAGCGGCGGCGGGUCCAAGGCAUGGGCUGGCAAGUUCAAGCCCACCCUCGACAAGGUGGAGUUCCUCUACGACGGCCAGGGGUUCAUGUCGAUGCGCCUGAGCAGGACGGAGGCCCGCCUCGCGUUCUUCGACGUCGCUGGCAGCGUCCUGCACUGCUGGACCAUGCAUGCCCAAAAAUUAACGACGACGACGACUGCUGCUGCAGCUAGGCACUAAAGCUUUGCUGGGUACGAUGAGUUGAUGAUGCAAUUAAUUAUUUGGUUUUGUCGUCUUUUCGUGCGUGAGAGGGAAGCAAUAAUAAUUAAUUGCUGCUGCUUCUGUUGUUGUGUGCACAUGCAUGUGAGGGUGUCAAGUAUGUUCAGCCUCUUGCAAGAUAAAAUCUCUCGUCUUCUGUGGAAUAAACUGGGAAAAAAGUUUUUUUUUGUAAAGUAUGCAGGAGUUUCGCGUGUGCUGAUA